AGAGAAUAGAUACCCUGGUAGUCCACGCCGUAAACUAUGGAUGCUAGCUGUUAUGAGUAUCGACCCUCGUAGUAGCGUAGCUAACGCGUUAAGCAUCCCGCCUGUGGAGUACGGUCGCAAGACUAAAACAUAAAGGAAUUGACGGGGACCCGCACAAGCGGUGGAGCGUGUUGUUUAAUUCGAUGGUAAGCGAAGAACCUUACCCAGGCUUGACAUCCUGCCAAGGUCUCCGAAAGGAGAUUGUGCCUUCGGGCCGCAGUGACAGGUGAUGCAUGGCCGUCGUCAGCUCGUGUCGUGAGAUGUUUGGUUAAGUCCAUCAACGAGCGCAACCCUUAUAGUUAGUUGUAUUUCUCUAGCUAGACUGCCCUGGUAACAGGGAGGAAGGGGGGUAGUGAUGUCAGGUCAGUAUUUCCCUUACGUCUGGGCGUACAAACACGCUACAAUGGCCGGUACAAAGGGCGUGCCAACCCGCGAGGGGGAGGCAAAUACCCACUCAAACGACCGGUCCUCAGUUCGGUAUAAGAGGCUGAAACUCGCCUCUUUGUAAG
rnacentral:rRNA from 1 species